rnacentral:lncRNA from 10 species
GGCUCCUAGGCAGAAGGAACUUGCCUUGUCUCAGAUAAAACUUUGGACUUGGACUUUUCAGUUAAUGCUGGAAUGAGUUUCCUGAGGCCUCCCCAGCCAUGCCUCAUACAGCCUGUGGAACUGGUCAACUGUCAGCACCAGAAGAAGAGGAACCAGCAUGCAUCAGCAACCAGGACCUAGGAGUGCUAAGUGGAGAGCUUGAGGACAGAAUAGAGAGGGAGCCUAUCAGGCUGAGCUGCCUCUUGGCUCUUCCCUUCAAAUCACUUGAAGUGUCAAGAUUGGUGAGGAUUAGACUCCUUUGGGUUAAUCCCUAAUGUUGUUGACAUAGUUACAAGUAACUGUCAAAAUUUACAUUUCACAUGAAUCAUUAAAUAAAACUUACAGGAGGCCAUUGUUUUUGACUGAGCUCCUGCACUAGGCCCCAACAGACCAAACCAAAAUGGAGUCACUUGUGUUAAGUGCCACAUAAUCAAAACGUAAAGGAAGAAGAAAAAUCCCUAAAUAGACCAACUUUUCUAAAAACAAGAGAUUCACAGCAACAAAUUGGAAAGGGCCCAGUCAACCUGAGCAUGAUAAGAAAGUUUCUUCUGCUUUAAUUCUUAUAAGCAAAGUAACCUGAUGUUAACCAAGUCACUUUUUUUGGUAUUAUUCUGUUUCAUUGUUCCUGCUCAAGCUACCUUACAAAAACCAAUGGUUCUGCUAUGCCCAAGGAAGCUCUCUUUAUUUUUAGAUGGGAUGCUGCCCAAUUUAUGAAUAGCCAAUAAAAGCCCAUUAGAUUUUUUAUUACAUUUGUUGAAAUUUUGUUUUCCAACAGAGUAAAUUUUUAGGUUUUAUUUUACACAACUGGCUCAAAUAUUUUAUAAGAUGUUCACCAAAAGAGAAAUUUGUUUAAUUUAAUUUUAUUUUUUUUCCUUGAGAUGGAGUCUUGCUCUGUCACCCAGGCUGGAAUGCAAUGGCUCAAUCUCAGCUCAUUGCAACCUCCGUCUCCUGGGUUCAAGUGAUUCACCUGUCUCAGCC